UACGUAGGGGGCUAGCGUUGUCCGGAAUCAUUGGGCGUAAAGCGCGUGUAGGCGGCCCGGUAAGUCCGCUGUGAAAGUCGGGGGCUCAACCCUCGGAUGCCGGUGGAUACUGUCGGGCUCGAGUACGGAAGAGGCGAGUGGAAUUCCUGGUGUAGCGGUGAAAUGCGCAGAUAUCAGGAGGAACACCAAUUGCGAAGGCAGCUCGCUGGGACGUUACUGACGCUGAGACGUGAAAGCGUGGGGAGCAAACAGG
rnacentral:rRNA from 1 species